rnacentral:rRNA from 1 species
AUUGAACUCUGGCGGCAGACCUAACACAUGCAAGUCGAGCGAGCGGCGGACGGGUGAGUAAUGUCUGGGAAACUGCCUGAUGGAGGGGGAUAACUACUGGAAACGGUAGCUAAUACCGCAUACCAUCAGAUGUGCCCAGAUGGGAUUAGCUAGUAGGUGGGGUAACGGCUCACCUAGGCGACGAUGCCUAGCUGGUGUGAGAGGAGGACCAGCCACAUUGGAACUGGGACACGGUCCAGCCUCCGACGGGAGGCAGCAGUGGGGAAUAUUGCACAAUGGGCGAAAGCCGGCUGCAGCAAUGCCGCGUGUGUGAAGAAGGCCUUCGGGUUGUAAAGCACUUUCAGCGGGGAGGCGUUACCCGCAGAAGAAGCACCGGCUAACUCCGUGCCAGCAGCCGCGGUAAUUC